UGAAAUGGAGGCCUCUGGAACUCAGAUCUCCCUCUUUCCCCUUUUCACUAAAGAGCUCUAUUUCAGAUUUGGUAAACUGCCUUGCCUUUGGAGAUAAAAAGAAGGAAGGGGGAAUCUUUCCUCCUCCUUCCUACUUUCUCCAAGGCAAGGCAUUUUUAAACAAACAGAAAGGGAGCUGCUUAUUUGAGGUUGGUUCAUACAUUGUCCUCUCCUAACUUAGAGAUAAGGCAGUUAACAACCCAGAAACUGAAGAAUCAAAGGAAUAUUUUCCAGCUUUACCAUCAGACAGCAUCAGUGAUGAAGCAGAACAGCAAGAAAUAGAACGGCGCUUGUCCUCAAGGAAUGUGCAGAAACAGAAGAAGGAUGAUUCAAACUGGAACAAUGGACCUGAUUAUAUAAAAACUGUUGCGCAGAGCACAUGCUCUCUUACGCUUGUAAUUUUGGAGAAGGAGCUCACAAGCAUCACAUCUUGCCCAAGAUGAAAUAAAAUGCCUCUGUCCUAUGUUUUCGCUUCACUGGUGAGCUUUUUUUUUAAUCUGGAACUUUGCUUAUUAAUUAUGGUUGGCAUAAAUGUUCACCAGGCCAUUCCCUCUCAAUUUGUUGCAGUCUAAAUUUCAUAUCAGUAUUAUU